GAUCCGCGGCGGCGCGCACUGAGCCAGAGCAUCCGAGCACUUUGGAGCAGCGCGGGAUUGAUCCGACGCGCAAGAACGCACCGGCACGCUGACAAGCGCGCCCUCCACAUCCACCUGAAAACCUCCAGAGCGGCUAAUUGUCCUGUUUGAAGGGCGAGAAAAGGGAGACUGAGCCCCGUUUUUAUUCACAGGCAGAACACCGUGUUCCCAUGAUGUCAUACCUGUGGAUUCUGCUAUUAGGAAGCCUGCUGGCUUCACACGCCAAGGCACAAGAUGAGGAAGCCCCAGCAGAUGAGGAAACAGCUCCUGACACAGGUGCCGACGGAGACCCUCAAGUUGACAAGGAAGCAGAUGAGACUCCUGCUGACCC